rnacentral:rRNA from 1 species
AUGCUUCGGACAACUCAUUCGAAAGUCCGAACUGAUGAAGAAAGAUGGGCAAUAUAUUUCAACAGCGACCUACUCCCGCCGUGCCACCUCAGAUGGCUCCUCCUCCACCUCGACAUAUCCAGCAAACCAGCUUUUGCGCCUGACGCGACACCAUCAACCUGGAUAUCAUGCCUAACAUCGAGAGGUGCAAGCGCCGCGCCAUGCGCACCUUCAACAUCUGCAUCGAGAGAUUCUUGGAAGGACCUCGUCAAGAGGCUGAGCCUGGAGUUCUUCGUCACCGGCAACGGCUGCUCACUGAACCGGCUCAUCGCGGAGGCCAUUGAUGCCUGGGGCGUCGAGGAGCUCGAGGCCAUCGCCAAGCCGCUGUACUUCAACCACAAGCAGCAAGACGCCGUCCACGCCUUUCCCAGCCAUGGCCUGUGCAAGGAGCCCCGCUCGUCACGCCUGCGAACCCUCAAGCUCGGACGAUGCGCGCUCCCGCCACUGCUGCACGAGUACGGUGCGCUUACCAUGCUCGUCCUGCGAGACAUUCAAUCGACGCCCCCGGCGGCCUACGAGGCCGUCUUCACCUCGUGCCCAAAGCUGCAGACCCUGCACCUCAUCUUGUGCAGCUGCCGGAGCAGCGACUCGGGCACGCUCUUGCCGCUGGUGGUGGACGCCCCCAGUUCAGAUAUCAGAGAGCUUGUCGUGGACAACUGCUCAUUCCGAUGGAUACGGCUGAGGCGCCUCCCCUGUCUCGAGAGCCUAGCCUCGCUGGGAACGGGAGCAGGAAGCAGAGUGUUCUUCGACCAAAACUCGUUUCCCUCCCUGAGGCGAUCCAACUUCGCCAUGCGCCUCGGUUUCGAGUUGGAGCUCGAAUACGUGCGCGAAUACUUUGCGCUGCCGCCGAAGCUGGACCUAGACAUGUUCCUUCGAUGCACCCAGGGCCCAGGCCCGGGGCGUGGAAAUUCGAACAGGCUAUAUAUAUGUGUGUUUUUCUGCAGGCCCAGGGCGUGGAAAAGAAGAAAGCCCAAAGACUGA